rnacentral:rRNA from 1 species
UACGUAGGGUGCGAGCGUUGUCCGGAAUUAUUGGGCGUAAAGAGCUCGUAGGCGGUCUGUCGCGUCGAAUGUGAAAACCCGGGGCUCAACUCCGGGCUUGCAUUCGAUACGGGCAUCACUGGAGUUCGGCAGGGGAGACUGGAAUUCCUGGUGUAGCGGUGAAAUGCGCAGAUAUCAGGAGGAACACCGGUGGCGAAGGCGGGUCUCUGGGCCGAUACUGACGCUGAGGAGCGAAAGCGUGGGGAGCAAACAGG